rnacentral:lncRNA from 10 species
CUCCAGGUUGAAACGAUGGCGGUCAGAACCGCCUGAGGUAAAAACGGGUGGCACUGGGGAAGCGGAGGCGUAGCUCCCGAGAGCCUCACACUUGUGCUCAGUGCCGCCUCACCCCUGGUGGAUCCGCGAUGGCCGCGGAUUCCCCUGGAUUGCCGGCGCUGGGCAGGAGCGCCACUUCUAAUCUCUCCCGAGACUGGACGCCCGGCGCCUUCCACGCGCGUUGUGUCUUUCCGGGCGGUCCCUCGAAGCUGGCUACCCCGCGGGCUGUUGACUGCAGUGGGAUCUGGUCACUCAGAUGCGGAUAGAGGGCUAAAUGCAAGAUGGUAUGGCAUCCAGACUCUGCUCAUAAGUAUCUGCAGUGAUCCAUACCUUGAUUGUACAUCUACUCUGCAUCCUGAGGACCUGAACAUGCUAACUGGUGGCUGCAGAUUUGUCUUCUAAGGAGCAAGUGUGGUCUGUGGACAGGCAGCUUCAGCCUCACCUGGGAUUUUGUUUGCACUAGAAAGUGCCAAGCCCUACCCUAGACCUAUUAAAGCAGAACUGGCGUUUAACAAGACACCCCAGAAUUAUGAAAACUAAAGCUAUUUACAGCUUUUAACAAUUGAGUAAAGUAUACUGUUACCAGAAUUGGGAGCAUAUUUGUUUCUCUCUACCUGGUUUCUCCAGAAUUUGGAAACUAUUUAGUCACUGAAAACUAAGCUGUGUUUUCUUAAAACCCUGCAAACUGAAGCCAGACAACUUGAACUUCAGAAGAAAAUAACAGCAACCUAUUUACGUACAUAAGCCACUUUCAUACCUGCCUACUAAUGUAUGGACUUCAGAGUAAUGUGGCUUAUAUCGAUUUUUCUAGGAUUGUUCUUUUGUUUGUUGUUGUUUUUUCUCCCUUCCUCCCUGCUAUUUUCUCUUCACAGAAUGUGAGACUUCACAACCUACUAAAAAUGAGCUUUUGGGACUUACCCAUCUAGGAAUAAACCAUCAUAGCUAUGAGAAAUCAGAU